rnacentral:pre_miRNA from 1 species
CGCCAAUGACAAACUGUUGAUGAAGACUUUGUCACAAUUAUCAGCAGUUGUCCAUUGACGUU